GAAGAAGAAGAAGAAGAAGAAGAAGAAGAAACAAAAAUAAAGAAAAAAAGUAAAAAAUUAAAAAAAAAAAAACAGAAGAAAGCAGGCUGAACAAGCAAUUGAAAGGAAGCCAGGAAGCAGGCUUCCUCCGUGGCCUCUGCUUCAGUUCCUGCCUCCAUGUUCCUGCCUUGACUUCGCUUCCUGAUGGGCUGUGACCUAUAAGAUAAAACAAACCCUUUCCUCCCCAAGUCACUUUCUGUCACAGAAUAGAAAUCUAGCAUGGCUACUGGUAUGAUGUUACGGUGAUGUGGUCCCGGAGCUGUCGUGCAGGGCAGGCGACCCUGCUGUCACUGAAGCUCAGCUUUGGGCUGUGCAGCCCUGUCCUGGUUAGGGCUUCUAUUGCUGCAGUCAAUCACCAUGACCAGAAAGCAAGUUGGGGACAAAAGAGCUUAUUUGACUUUACCCUUCGGCACCACUGCUCAUCAUGGAAGGAAGUCAGGACAGUGAGGAGACACUGUCAACAUCCCACCCUGACCCACCGUGGCAGUCCUCUUGGCCCUGGAUGGUACUCCCACCCCGGGGAACCAUAAAUCCUGCCUGCUAAUGUCCCACAAUCGCACCGUCCUCUGGAGACUUGCUCUUGGUCAGUGGGAGCCACGUCUUUACUUCUGUGAGAUAGCAGGCUCAGGCACAGUAGGUUUAUGGGAUUGUGUGGUAACCUCUAUAACCAAGCCAUUAAUCCUAGCACUUGAGAGGCAGAGGCAAGGAGACCUCUGUGCAUUUGAGUUCAGCCUGGUCACCAUAGUAAGCUCCAGGACAGCCAGGGCUACAUAGUGAGACCUGUCUAAAACAAAGCAAAACAAAACAAGAAACUCAAAAAAAAAAAAAAAAAAAAAAAACCCAAAACCCAAACUCACCGCAACCAAAUGUGAUUUCUAGAUGGAAGAGUUUAUUUGGGUUCACAGUUGCAGAAGGACAAGUCUCAAGUUGGGGAGGCCUGGCAGCAAGUAGCCGACAAGGUGACAACAGGGCCAGGAAGCUGAGAGCUCACAUCUCAACCACAUGGAGCAGAGAGUGACCUGGAAAGCUCUGAAAGCCUGCCUGCACC
rnacentral:lncRNA from 1 species